AGAGUUUGAUCCUGGCUCAGGAUGAACGCUAGCUACAGGCUUAACAUAUGCAAGUCGAGGGGAAACGACAUCGAAAGCUUGCUUUUGAUGGGCGUCGACCGGCGCACGGGUGAGUAACGCGUAUCCAACCUGCCCAUCACUUGGGGAUAACCUUGCGAAAGUAAGACUAAUACCCAAUGACGUCUCUAGAAGACAUCUGAAAGAGAUUAAAGAUUUAUCGGUGAUGGAUGGGGAUGCGUCUGAUUAGCUUGUUGGCGGGGUAACGGCCACCAAGGCGACGAUCAGUAGGGGUUCUGGAGAGGAACGGUCCCCCACAUUGGAACUGAGACACGGUCCAAACUCCGUACGGGAGGCA
rnacentral:rRNA from 1 species